rnacentral:rRNA from 1 species
UACGUAGGGGGCAAGCGUUGUCCGGAUUUAUUGGGCGUAAAGAGCGUGUAGGCGGCCAUACAGGUCCGUUGUGAAAACUGGAGGCUUAACCUCCAGACGUCGAUGGAAACCGUAUGGCUAGAGUCCGGAAGAGGAGAGUGGAAUUCCUGGUGUAGCGGUGAAAUGCGCAGAUAUCAGGAAGAACACCCGUGGCGAAGGCGGCUCUCUGGGACGGUACUGACGCUGAGACGCGAAAGCGUGGGGAGAAAACAGG